rnacentral:rRNA from 1 species
AUGGGAAGUAGAGACAACCGGCUCCGUCCUGCUCCAACAUCGCCGUCCGUCGACCCAACGAACAAGAAACGCAUCAACAGGAGAAGCACGGCACAUGUACAUAUCAGACUGGAUUCUAUGUUCUGUCCAUGCCCUGUUCACUGGCAUUGCCUCUUGAUUCCCCUCUUAAGUAGAAGAUCCACAGUAAGCAUAGCAAGUCCACUUGAGGAGCAAAUGUUGUUUAUCACCGCAUCUCUUCUCAUGUUGACAAGCAAGCCCGAUAUCUAUGAAGGCACCAUACAAGGCGGCGACGGCGUACCGCUCAAUACCUGCAGCCCCUGGUAUGGACAGGAAAAUAUGAGCUUCUCGGCCUCGAUGACGUCCUCGUGCCUCUAUCUAAAAUGGCAGAUAUGUUUGUUUCUCUGGUGGGACGGCAGUUCUUCCGAAGCUUUGCUUUUCGCUCGGCAAGAAAGGCAGCAGCUGACGGGAGGAUGUACCGAGGCCUGCGGCGGACUCAGGAUGGAAAGCAGCGAGCAACGAUGCAUACUUCAGGGAAGCCUGCUGUUUCUCCUCGCCAAGACCUAA